rnacentral:rRNA from 1 species
GCGAACGCUGGCGGCAGGCCUAACACAUGCAAGUCGAACGGAUCCUUCGGGAUUAGUGGCGGACGGGUGAGUAACACGUGGGAACGUGCCUUUUGGUUCGGAACAACUCAGGGAAACUUGAGCUAAUAUCGAAUGUGCCCUUCGGGGGAAAGAUUUAUCGCCAUUAGAGCGGCCCGCGUCUGAUUAGCUUUUUGGUGAGGUAAAGGCUCACCAAGGCUACGAUCAGUAGCUGGUCUGAGAGGAUGAUCAGCCACAUUGGGACUGAGACACGGCCCAAACUCCUACGGGAGGCAGCAGUGGGGAAUCUUGCGCAAUGGGCGAAAGCCUGACGCAGCCAGGCCGCGUGAAUAAUGAAGGGCUUCGGAUUGUAAAAGUCUGUUAUCGGGAAAGAACACGUUGACCAGGAAAUGGGUGAGAGCUGACGGUACCCGAUGAGAAAGCCCCGGCCAACUACGU